UGCGACGCGGCCGUCCCAUUCCUCUCCCGGCCCCCGCCUAUCCGCCCGCUCCAAGCGGCCAUCGUCCCAUCCUUCCUACCGGCAACGCGCCCACUAUUGCGCUCUUCCAGCAGCCUCCCGGUGACGCGCGCCACACCUAGCAUGUGUCCGGCCAUCCUUGUCCUCCUGACGUCGUGCGCCGCGCCCGGACUUGACCAAGGUAGGCUCCCGGGUCUACGCUCCUGCGGCCGACGGUGAAGGAGCGCCAGGUGGACUCGUAGGCCCCAUCGUGCUCCACCGAGAAAGUCCAUGCGUGAUUCGGCUGCUGGGAAAGACCGUGCGUCGUGGAUGCAUAUGACACGAGCUUGAUUAGCUAUAAGAAGCAGUUGUUCCUUUGAACUUGAUCUCUGAAUGCCUCAGGUCUGCUUGCUCGUUUUUCUUGAACAUACAUUUUUUCAGAUUUUCCACUUCAAUUACCUUCUGAGAAUGCAAAGCUUGCCUCUCAACCAAACUGGUUCAGAUUUGUUAUGUUCGUGUGUCGUCGGCGCAUCCAGCACGCCAGUCUACAGCUGUUAAUCCCCUUGAUGCAUGUAUCUUGAUGCUUCAACAGCGUAUUUUCUUUCUUGCUUUAGAUCUUGAUGCGUCAUGACCUUCAGCGUUGUGUGUAGCAGUUUACAUCUUAAGUAAAUUAUCAAAUACCAAUUGUAGUUGCACAUAUAGUAGUUCUCGGUUGUAUAUUGUCAUCGAAAAGUUGCACAACACUGUGAUACUAAGUUGGCUA